GUCGAACGCUGGCGGCGUGCCUAAUACAUGCAAGUCGAACGCAGUGGGGACGGGUGAGUAACAUGUGGGUAACCUCCCAUCAGAGGGGAUAACACUUGGAAACAGGUGCUAAACCGAUAUUGAAGGAUGGACCCGCGGUGCAUGAGCUAGUUGGUGAGGUAACGGCUCACCAAGGCCACGAUGCUUAGCUGACCUGAGAGGGUGAACGGCCACACUGGGACUGAGACACAGCCCAAACUCCUACGGAAGGCAGCAGUAGGGAGUCUUGGGCAAUGGACGAAAGUCUGACCGAGCAACGCCGCGGGAGUGAAGAAGGUUUUCGGAUCGUAAAACUCUGUUGUUAGAGAAGCGGUAUCUAACCAGAAAGCCACGGCUAACUACGUGCCAGCAGCCGCGGUAAUUC
rnacentral:rRNA from 1 species